CAGAUCAGUCAUUUUGAGAUCACUUUUCAGUUUUGCCACACAAAUCUCCACCUCUCUUGUCUGUCUGCAGGUGCAGUGUGGUGGUCAGUUUGCAUAAAGACGCCCCCUUUGUGACGCCCGUCUCAGCACUCUGACUGCAUUUAUAAUUUCCUGAAUGAGACGCACUGACAGAAUCUCCAGCCACCAUGACUGCACUUGUGCUACUGUCUGUCUUCAUAGUCUUCAUUCAAGACUCAAGAUGUCAGAUUUCUGUGACUCAACCAACAGCACCAAAGUCAGUUUCUCCUGGAGGGAGCGUCACCUUCAGCUGUACCACUGGGAGUGAUGUGAGUAGCUAUAUUAACUGGUACCAGCAGAGACCUGGACAAUCCCCUAAACUCCUGAUCUAUGCUGCAAGCACUCGCUACGGUGACACCCCAAGUCGCUUCACUGGCAGCGGGUCAGGAACUUCAUACAGUUUGACUAUCAGUGGAGUCCAACCUGAAGACGCCGGUCACUACUACUGUCAGGAGAGGUACAGCUUACCACACAGUGAUUGAGACUCGUACAAAAACCUCACUGAGCUGCUGUCAAGUCUGCAGGUGUGAAACUGAAACACUGAAAUGAAACUUAAAGCAGAAACCAAUGAACUGAAACAAAAGGAUGUGAGAUGACAGUAAAACCAAAGAGGAACAAACUAACUGAAAAAUUAAAAUGAAAGGAAAAAAAAUAGCAGAGCAGAGGAAAUCUAACUUACUGAAAUACAAGAUUCCACGUUUUGGAUUAAUUUUGUUUAGUGUGACCAACUGAAUAAGCAAUUAUCUUAUUAUCAGCACAUUUUUUUUAAUACUGUUUAUUUAAUAAAGUUAAAAGGAUCAGAA